GGGGAUGUAGCUCAGUGGUAGAGCGUCCGCUUCGCAUGCGGAAGGUCCGGGGUUCGAUCCCCCGCAUCUCCA
rnacentral:tRNA from 2 species